rnacentral:rRNA from 1 species
CCCCUUCGGUGUGACAGGGGGACAGGGGGGGCAUGGUUGUCGUCAGCUCGUGUCGUUAGAUGUUGGGUUACGUCCCGCAACGAGCGCAACCCUCGCCUCUAGUUGCCAGCAUUCGGUUGGGCACUCUAGAGGGACUGCCGGCGACAAGUCGGAGGAAGGUGGGGAUGACGUCAAAUCAUCAUGCCCCUUAUGACCUGGGCUACACACGUGCUACAAUGGGCGGUACAAAGGGCUGCGAACCCGCGAGGGGGAGCGAAUCCCAAAAAGCCGCUCUCAGUUCGGAUUGCAGGCUGCAACUCGCCUGCAUGAAGCCGGAAUCGCUAGUAAUCGCGGAUCAGCAUGCCGCGGUGAAUACGUUCCCGGGCCUUGUACACACCGCCCGUCACACCACGAGAGCUUGCAACACCCGAAGUCGGUGAGGCAACCCGCAAGGGAGCCAGCCGCCGAAGGUGGGGCAAGUGAUUGGGGUGAAGUCGUAACAAGGUAGCCGUACCGGAAGGUGCGGCUGGAUCACCUCCUUUCUAAGGA